rnacentral:rRNA from 1 species
UACGUAGGGUGCGAGCGUUAAUCGGAAUUACUGGGCGUAAAGCGUGCGCAGGCGGUCUCGUAAGUCAGAUGUGAAAUCCCCGAGCUUAACUUGGGAACUGCAUCCGAAACUGUGAGACUAGAGUGUGUCAGAGGGAGGUAGAAUUCCACGUGUAGCAGUGAAAUGCGUAGAUAUGUGGAGGAAUACCAGUGGCGAAGGCGGCCUCCUGGGAUAACACUGACGCUCAUGUACGAAAGCGUGGGGAGCAAACAGG